CCUGGUUAUGAAAAAGUUAAAGCUGUGUUGUUUCUGUGUCUUCUAGCUGGGAUUAGAAGUAAGGGCACAUAAGCUAUAGAAUCUUUAUUUUGGGGAACCCGUAGCUAAAAACAGACCAGUGGUAAUGACAGUUGUAACAUAAUGCACUCAUAUGACCUGACUCUAAAAGUUUCUCCUAGUAACAGUAUAUACCUAGGGCAAAAGGGGAGUUCUGAGGCUUCCUCACACAGCCACAAAGAUUUGCAUACUCUCUGGAACAGUUUCAGAGCUGAGGUAGACAACUAUGCUCACUUUGAAUGACUAGUGAAUGAGACCUUUGGAUAGCUAUUGCAAGCACUGCUUCCUUCAAAAUAACUCGUCUUGUUUUGCAAAGAAAUAUUUGAUAAACUGUACAUACUAGGAUGCAUCAGUCUGCAGUUUGUAUUUUAAAGAUAGGCCAGAGGACCCAACAGACUGCUAGGAAUGAUCUGACUGAUACCAGAGAAACUGACCGUAGGACUGUGCAAGGCAAUUGUUUUACAGAAAGUACUGCUUAAAAUGAAAAAAAAGAAAAAGAAAAAAAAAAGCAGAGUGGAAAAGCAUCAAUGGACACAUUAAUAACAGAUAACAUUACGUAAUAAUUAGAGAAUAAGUAAUAAUGAAAACAUGACAUCUCUUCAUUUGUAACUCUCUGAAUUGUGGCUCUGGGCAGCCUGGUCUGGUGGUUGGCGACCCUGCACAUAGCAGGGGGGUUGAAACUAGAUGAUCAUUGUGGUCCUUUUCAACCCAGGCCAUGCUAUGAUACGAUAUGAUUCUAUGAAUUGAGAAGUAGAAUAUGGGACUAUUUUUCAAUAGCGUGAAAAAAUUCUAGGUGGUGCCCCCUGGUGUAUGAAUUUGUCAUGUUAUGGGCCUGUUCAGUCAGGCACAGGCAGAACACAGGUAGUGUGUCACUACCUCAAGGGACAACGCGGCACUCACAUAAUCCAGUCUUAUGCUCACCACAGUAAUGGAGCCUUACCAUUUACGUUGCUGACUUCUCUCUCCUAUCUUGUACCAUUUUUAAUAUAAUUUGAGUCUGGGGAGUAGGGGAGGAAUUGACAUAGAUUCAUUGUCAGCCAAUAGAUCUAAAAUGAAAGCCUGAAUGUUCACUUUUGCUCUAUUGCAUAUGAAAUAAAAAUAAUUAAAAAAAAAAAAGUUUUUUAAUCGCAGUAGCUGGAGUUGCCUUUGAGACAGAGAUAGUGUAUAUCCUCUAUUGGCUUGCCAAGUAGAGAACUUCAGUCUUUUUCUUUUGUAUUCUUGCUACUUGCUUUUCUGUGUUUGAGUUAUUCAUUUAAUCUGCCAUUUGUCUUGCUUGGACUAUUCUGAUUGAGGCGCCUUAGGACAGAAGCCAGACAGUGUUUUUUUUGCAUGCUCCAGAUGUUUGCAAUAACAUACUGAGCUGAAUGCCAGCAAUAAAGGGACAUUGCUCGAACAGGAAAUACUUUGCAUCUGAAACCAACCAGUAAGUCUCUAGAGGAGAAAAGGUACAGAUUUGUCCGCUGACUGGUAGCCAGUAAGAAGAAACAAACAAACACACGCAAAAACAUCUUGGUAAAAUCAGAUUAAGGAGAAAACUUCCAGUAACUGAUUUCAAAAAACAAGUACAAUAAAUGACUAACAUAAAAUAUUGCCCUAAGAUUACUGGAUUGGUACUGAGACAUUUUCAGCCACAAUUCUGCUUUUAGUCUUACAACCUGAGUUUCUGUUUUUAAUAGGAAAAAAAAAAAAAAGAAAGAAAAUUCUGCUCUUUCCAAAAAGUUAUACAGAAUGCGUUCAUCAAAGGAAAAGAAUCACCUUCCAUCUUUCUUAUACUUUAAAAACAUUGGGGUGUAUACAUGCAAGAAAGAUGGCAUCAUUAUGUUUUCCUUUUCCUGAUCGAUUUUGAAUUCAUAUUUUGUCACAUCUAACUCUGUACUGACUCACAUGAAGUCAGACAUUUUUGAUAAUUCUCUCCACCAGAAGAGUGGACAUUGAACCGAACAUUUAUUGUGAGAACAGAAAUACAUUUCUGCAUUCUUCAAAAACGUGUGGGCAUACUGUUCAGUUGUCUUAUUCACCCAGAUUAAAUUAAUAGUUGUUUUAUUUUUAUUCUGCCUAUCCUCCGGCUUACUGUCAAAUCGAAGCUUUGCUGAGAGAAUUAUUUAUGCAAUGUUAGAUGCUCCACAUGAUUCGUAUAAUGGAAAUCACCGAAGUUUAUAUAACUUAGAAGAAGAUCAUACUGUCACAUCACCUGUAGGUACCAUAAUCUGACUGAAUUUGGGUUUAUAAUCAUGUUUUACCAGCUCCCUGUAAAUUAAUUGCAUGAGUUUUACUUUGAAAAAUGGAUCUUCAUUGAAUUAAAAGAACUCACAGGUACAAUUGAUACACAUUUUUAAAAUAAGAUCAUCUAUUUCUUUAUCAAGGUACGGAAAGGCUACUUUUCAGGAACCAAGUUAUUUAAGUCUCUUCUUUUGCAUGCUUUUCAUAGUUUUUCACAUUUUCAGAGAAACAACAAUAGCUGAAAUUUGACUGAACAAAGCCCACUGCAACGUAGUACUGGGGAAUGUUCCAGAAGAAGGGUGGUUCACUUUCUGUCAUUGUUUUACAGCUCUCCAGGAAGCCUGAUGGAAAACUAGCACUUCAAAGAGCACUGGUUUCAGGAAGUUUAUCUUCCAGCAGGGUAAUAUUUCUUACUUCCUCACAAAGAGGUAAUAAAUCUUGGGAACUGGUAUUCCAGUCCGGAGACAUUUAUAGAAGUUUCUCUUUGGACUUUGUUAACUAAUGUGACACUCCAUCCCAAGCAAAUUGAUGGAACCAAACAUGAGUCAUGCGUGGGAGACAUUUUGUUCAGAUUUAAUAGAGAAGCUCUUGCAUAUAAUUCCUUAUGUUGGUCCAAAAUACUUCUGCAGUUUUUGCCACAACAUCACUCAACAAUGGAUUUGCCGGAUAGGAAAGUAACUUGCAUUGCCAUCCAUACACACUGCAAACAACAUAAAUUUGUACGCCAUUUACAUCAGGAUGAGAAGCACACACUCUAAGCUGUACAUUUUGCUUCUUAAGCACUUAGCUCCAUCUUACAGUUCUGCACUAUAAAUAAUCAGACCCAUAAUGUUUUUGAAAAUAUGGAAAUCCGUAACUUGAAAUAUGUGUGGACUGAGCACUUGGCUAAAAGCAGAGGAUGACAAGUUUCAAGGCUAUACGCAUGGCACAUCUGACUUUUAAUCAAUAUUAAAAAGAAAAAAAGUUAGAGGAGUAAGGCAAGAAAGUAGCGCAGAGUCUCUACUUUUAUCCUGAUUUCCCUUAUGUUUGCUAUGUAUUAUUUUUAAGUAAUCCAGUUUAACUCAGAACUGUGCACUUUAGUUUUUUGUGAACCUGAUUUUCUAUUUAAGGGAAGCACAUUGAAUUUUCACUCUUUAAUUUUUCAGCCUCUAUUCAGAUGAACUAUUAGGGUCUGGAGUACAAAAUAGCCACUCUGACUUCUUCAGAAUAAUUUAAAAGGAUCGUGUAAGAAAGCAAACAAAUAGGAGGCAUGAAGUUAAAUAGGGUACCAUUUUCCCAUGUUGGGGAAAGAUUAGCCCUCUAGCUCACUACUCCUUUAGGACAGAGAAGAUAACAGAUCAAAAACCAUGGUUAACAAGAGCUUGGAGUGGAAGUCGGUGGCUUUCUACUGCAGCAUUUUACUAUGGGGUAGUAUGACCUGUCGCACUAUAGCUUAAUGCAUGACUAAUUCAGAAUCAUUCAAUGAAUAUUUUAGUUAGUACCUUUCCAGUAUGCUAGCCUGCAGCAAUUGAAGCUUUCUUUCGUGAUUCUAUUUAGGAAGAAAAAUACAGGUUUAAUAUUUCAGUGCUUUCCUGUCAUUUACAUGGAAUAUUUCCUUUACACACAAAUUCAGAAGAAGGAUAUAAAAUAAAUCAAGGUUUCAUUUAAUUGUUUUCAAAGCUUGUUAAUUCUGCAAGGUAGCUUUAUGUCUGUUAAGCCCUUUAAUUUUGUUUGGAAAAUGUGAAAAUGUUUUAAAUGGAUCAGAAUAUAUGCUUUGCUUGAUACAGUUUUUUUUCUAUUUCUACAUUUGAUAGCUGGAACAAAACAAAAUAAAUACCUUUAAUAGGUAACAGGAAAUUAACAUUUAAUUCAUCUGACUGAAAGAAAAAUGACCAAAGGAGAAUGUGAUGUAGUUCUAUGAAUAUGUAUAGGUUGCUCUGAAAGUAAUGCCUCCCAUUUCUUUCCAUGGAAGCUAUAACAGAUACAAAGAGCGCAAUAACACUGUUUCACGGAGAAAAUUCUCAGCUACAAAAACCUGUUUUUCAGUAUAGUCGCCAUGAUUAGCUAUACAUUUUUAGCAGCGAUGGAACAAGAGCCUGCAUGCCAUGCUCAUAAAAAUCUGCACCAGUGGAGGUAACCAACUACCAUUGUCACUACUGCUGAAAUGCAUCACCCAUCACCUCACUGUACUCAUAUCCUCCAGUUGAUCUCCACAAAUGUUCAAUAAGCAUUGAUGAAUGUCAAUGGGUGUCAUUUUUUUUCAGGGAAUUUAGUUCUACACUACUGCUCCAUACACACUUCUAUGUCAGACACCAUUCAGUCAGACUGCCCCUCUGCUGCCAUUUGUGGAACAGAAUAUUGGUGUGAAGGUUCAACCUCUGCUGCCAUACCACCACCAUCCAAUUCUGAUAACGUGGGCCAACAUAAUAAAAUAAGAGGCAUUACUUUGGGUGAAGCCCUUGUCUUUUGCAAAAUGUUCUUCUGGUGUAUGGGUAAUCAUGAAAGUUUUAUGAUACUUCAUCUGCUUCUCCCAGGUAGGCAAGCACUUCAUGGAGGUUUCUUCUGUAUCUUCUGCAUCUUUUCAUGAGCGUGUAGAUGUCAGGCUUGCAGUAAGAAAUUAGUGGUUUAGUUGUUGUUGUUGUUGUUGAUUUGUUUGUUUGUUUUCCUGAUUAACCUCUUCAGACUUGGUGAAGAUACUGAGGUGCAGAAAUCAGACCCUAUAGCCAGUAAGGAUAUAGAGCAGGUAUGUGUUUAUUGGUGACACAUGUACACCCUGGUGCAAGGGGGAUUGUACCACCUAACUUGCACAACGUCAGGAGAAAUCGUGCUAUAGAACUAAUACAUAAUCAAUAGUUGACAGGAAUUCGGAUAUAUAUUCAUUACAUUCCCAAGAGCCCAUUAGCAUGCAGUCCCUCCCCCCCUUGUGCGUGCGUAGUAGGUCGUGAUGAUGAAGGCUCAUAGUCUUCCUCACGAAGGCUCAUAGUCUUCCUCGCUGCAAACUUUGGACCCUGAAGUGGAGGCAUCCCCUGAACCAGUUUCAGCUAGCCCUGUAGACAUCUAAUCACCUCCCUGCCAAAUGUUUUCGAGCUGCUCUCCAGUCCGUAUCUUUAUGGCCUUCAUCCUCCUUGUUAUUCCAGACCUCUUGUCUGUGAAAGUGCUUGGAAUCCCUUGUUUUCUAACACUCUCUACCUGAACUAUCUCUAUUUGCCUCUUAUUUCUAUUUUGUGAAGCUACUUUCCCUUUUCUUGCUGUGUAGCCCUUCUCUCUAUAACUGCAGGGUCCUGUUCUCACUCUUCAAUACAGCAAGAAAGAUUUCAAGAAGAAGACAAUAACAGCACACAGAUAAAUUGUAUUUACUUACAGAAAUGGAAUCAAAAUAAAUCAAGUGAAUAAUGAGUAACUUUGCUCUGGUACAUCACCUAUUUGCUGAGACACAACUUAUCACAUUUUCAAAAGAGAAAAAAAAUUACUCUAAUAGGACAAUAAACUUUACUCAGAACCCAGGAAUGAGAGGCUUUUUUUUCCGUAAUAAGCAUCGGAUGCACAAAAUGCCAGCCAGUAUAGGAGCUUGCAUAGUUCUUAGAAUGACAAAACACAAGUGGAAGAUUGGAGAAGUGGACAUGAUUUACAUCUUCAGAAGUUUCAAAAGUCUCCAAACACAAUCUUGAGGUUAAGGAAAUUUGGUUACCAAAUGAUUAUGGUGCUUUGUUUUAACCAGGAAGGUGGCUCAGCAGCACACAGUCAUUUACUCAAUCUCUGACUUCCCAAUGGGAUGGGGGAGAGAAUUGAGAAAAACUAAGUAGAGCUCGUGGGUUGAGAUAGAACUAUUUAUUAAGACAUAGAAAAGGAAAAGGAUAAUAAUUAUGAGUAUAGAUAGAUAGAUAGAUAGAUAGAUAGAUAGAGCCCUUGAUCUUUACCAUGAGGCCCAAGCCCAUAGCUGGCCUGUUAUCAGGGAAGAGUGCUGCACAUGCAUUUCUGCUUGUGACCUCUGCCACACCUUUCUGGAUGAACACCCUUACAGGACCCCUCUCCAUUGAAGGAAGGGAAAGUUGGCAGGUUAACUAAAUUGGGCCAUUCCAGAAAUCUGAAAGCAAACAAUACAUGUUAGCAGGGGUAGAAAAAGUCUCCAGCCUACAACCAGCUGAAUCCAUCUCUCAGUCAACAAGAGAAAACACUGUAAAGGCUCUAAAUAAACAGUAUAGCAUUUUUCCAAAACCUAAUUCCAUCCAAUCAGACAAUGGCUCCCAUUUCACCUCAGGAUUAGCACAAGAAUGGGCCAGAGAGGAAGGCAUUUAUUGCAUCUUUCACACUCCCUACUACUCUCAAGCUAAUGGCAUUGUGGAAUGAUCCAAUGGCCUCCUUAAGAAAUUUCUGAAACUGGGAAAAUCCAAUUGGGCCACCCAUGUCACUGAUGUGGUCAAAAGAAUCAAUGAUUGCUGGGGAAUUAAUGGUUGUCUCCAAUUUAAUGCCUUCUGCCCCAAGACCCUAUCACUCUUGCCCAUUACUCUCAAUCCAGAUGCAGAUGACCUGGAGAAACCCUCUUAUCUCUCUGGCCAGCCUGUAUUCGUCGACUUGCCUAAUGUGGGGCUUGUCCCUCUAACAUUAACAGAAUCACUUAAUAAAUAUACUUGCAAGGCUGAGGAUGCCGAGGAAAAAGAAUAUAAAAUUGACACUUGCUGGAUUGAUCCCUCAUUUCAACCGCACAGAUGAAGCCCAAAAAGGGCAAGUCAAUGUCUGCUUUUAUUUCACAGAAGACCUCUGAGAAGUCUUCUGAAUGCAGAAAGGCAGACAGUUGAUUUUAAUCAUCUUUAUUUUGGUGAUUAUCUUUGUAAUAUUCAAAAGUUUAGGCUGGAUUUGUAGAGUAAGAUGUCAAUUCUGUUGUUUUGGUGUAUGGGUCACAACCCCUGGAACUAUCAGUUAUCCCCUUCAAGAAUUUGGGAAUGGAGGGAGUGGUAUAAAGAACUCUUUUAUCCAACUGGCUGAGCAAGUAGCAAACAUUUAUAACCUCAGCAACUACUGAGUCUGUGGAGGACCCAUGGGACUUGAAACCUGGCCCUGGUUGCUCCCAAGUGGCUGGCAUGUAACUACAGCUGAAUUGACUGCAGCACCCACUGGGAAGAUCAGAAUACAUCUCCAUGGCCAAACCAGUAUCCCACUAGGAAAUUUAUUGUCUGAAUCAAACUCAGCCAGGUGGUAUCCACACUGGGACUAGCAAUUGCACUUGGGUUUAUCAUAAAAUGAGUCAUGAGCUAGUAAACCAAAUUGAUUAUAAACAGGGGUGGUAUAAUGGUUCAGAAAUAGGGGAAGGGUUUCCUAAUUUUUGUUCCUACACAAACAACACUGUUCUCUGAAGCUGGAGGUAUGAAUUGCACCUGGAAACUCCGUGCUGGGGCUUAGAGGUGCAAGUGGUGCAGAGAGAAAAGGGAUACCGGUAAAGGCUGGAACUGUAAUGUGGCAAGACACUCUUUUGGAUCUCUCAACACCACAUACAUACGUGCUAAGGAACAUGUAAAUUAACCUGCUGCAAAAUGGAAUGGACCUUUUGAAUAUGGCUCAGUAGCACUAAAGGGACAUUACUGAAUUUCUGGCCAUUAUGAAUACAAGCAACUAUCUGCAAAUUGAACUGGGGUAUGCUGUGUGGGAACAAUGCACCCAAUGUUCUUUUUGCCCCUGGGGAAAGGUGCUGAUGAAUUAGGUAUCAAUGUAUAAUGAUCUCAUACAACAACACUGGUUCACUAACACCUCCAUUACAAGCACUAAUGGCCAAACUUGGCCACUAAAGACAACUGGCCACUGCAGCGCAUAAUCAAACACUAUGGGCUGGCUACAUGCAAUCCCAAUGAAUGGGUGCUUGAGAACCCAUUUAUAACCUGAACUGCAUUAUCAGAUUACAAGCUGAAAUAGCUCAUGUCCUUGAUCUCCUUGCAGAUCAAGCCACGCAGAUGCAAGCAGCAAUAUUUCAGUACUGCAGGGCUCUCGACUACUUACUAGGUGAAGGAGGAGGUAUCUGUGGCAAACUGAAUGACUCUAAACUUGGAAGAACCUAGAUUGUGAUUUCUUUUCUUGGCUUCCAGGUGGCCCAUGGGUGAAAUGUGUCAUACUUUUAUCUACUUUGUGCUACCAUAGCUGUUAUGUCCAUACUGUGUUUCAAUCCAUUUAUUCAAGGCAUUGUAUCUUCUACGUAUUUUGUAACCUCUUCCACUGUUAGGGAAUCCCAAAAGAUCAGGGAAAUCUUUUGUAGUGGUUAUAUAGAACAUCUGAUUUCCCGCUCUCCCUCCUUUGCCCUUAUGCUUACUAUUUCUUUUUUUCUUUCUCACUGCCAUUGAUCACCAAUGCACCAUUUUAAGCAACCUUUGAGUCAUGGGUGCUCAGACAACAUUUGACCUUUCUUGUGUCUCAGUCUCACUUCAGGUAUAUCAAAAAAUCUCCUCUCUUCAUCUGAUAAAUGGAGUGAGACAAAAGUAUAUAACAACUGAUGCACAAGCAAUUGCUCACUACUCCUACCAAUGCCCCACCUGUCUCUUAAGCAUCAGGAGAGAUGCACUCCUACCCCCUUCAAAACUCCUUCCUUAUGAUUCAUAUGAUAUGGAAUAUGUCUUUGGCAAGUUUAAGUCAGCUGUCCUAAUUCUGUUGCCUCCCACCUCCUUGGGCUCUUUGCUGCAAAUGGCCUUGGUUUCCAUUGCUGUAACCACCCCGACAGGGGAGGAGUCAUCCACAACCUUGCUGGGCAACCUGUUCCAGUGUCUAACCACCCUCACAGUAAAGAAUUUCUUCCUAAUAGCUUGUCUAAAUCUACCCUCAGAUAUUAGGAAGAAAUUCUUUACUGUGAGAUGUGAAAUCGUUCUUCUUCCAGGUCACUUGAUGGAGAGAAUUUGCAAUCAAACUGUAAUCCAAAUAUCUCCAGAAACCCAUAACACCUAAGAAAGCUCAUGUUUCCUUUUUGCAAGUUGGUUGAGACAUAGCAGUUAUUGUAUUGAUCACAUCCAUGGGGAUCUGAUGACAUCCAUCUUGCCAUUUUAUUCCUAAGAACUGGAUCUCCUGUGCAAAUCCAUUGACCUUGCUUUGGUUUAUGCCAAAACAAAUUUUUAGAGGGAUUUGAAUUACUUUUUUCCCUUUCUCAAAAACUGCUGCUGCUGUGUUGCCCACACAAAGAUGUUGCCAAUGUAUUGCAGGUGUUCAGGAGCUUCCCACUGUUCCAGCGCACCCUGGAUCAGCCCAUGACAAAUGGCAGGUCUGUGUUUCCAUCCCUGGGGCAGUCAAUUCCAGGUGUACUGGAUGCCCCUCCAAGUAAAACCAAACUGUGUCCUGCACUCUGCUGCCAGAGAGACAGAGAAAAACGCAUUGGUGAUGCCAGCUGUGGCAUGUCACUUGGCUGCCUUUGACUCCAGUUCCUAUUGAAGUGCUAGCAUGUCUGGCACAGCAGUGCUUAGCAGUGGUGUGACUUCAGUCAGACCACUGUUAUCCCCCACUCUCCAUUGGACUUUUGCACUCGUCAUAUGGGACUACUGAAGGGUGCGUGAGUCUUGCUGAUUACUCCAUGGUUUUCCAGUUGGUGAAUCAGCUGACAAAUGGGAAUUAGGGAGUCCUGGAUGGUGUGAUAUUGCUGAUGGUGCACUGUUGGAGUAGCGGUUGGCUCCUGCUGUCCUUCUACUCUUUGCAAUCCCACAACAGAAGGAUCCUGUGAGAGACCAGGCAAGCCCAUCAAUAUCCUUUUGGGUCCCUGGAGUACCCUCUCCAGAGAUAAUCUACACUGAGGACGCACAGAGCCUCUGGGCCGGUCGCAAUGCAGUGCUUUUGUCCCUCAGUUCUGGUUAGGCUCACUUCAGCCUCCAACACACUUAAAUCAUUGGAUCCCCAUCACUGCAGAAAUACAAAUGGCUUUUGGCCCUUUAUAACUUGAUGGGAUUGGAGUACAUGAUUCCAUCCCAGUGGGAUCUAAGACAUAUGGGUAAAGCAUUGUCAUGACUUCAACUAAUGAGAUGGAACAGGAAUCAAUUUUCUCUCAUGAAAGUAUUUAGUAGUAGGAGGUGCCAGGACUUCACACCAAGAAGACAACCAGUAGGUCACUGUUAGAAAAGCAGGGCUUUUCAUGACUGUUCUAGAUUGGAAAAUAGUUGGAGGGCCUGCAGGAAAUCUAGCAGUAAUUUUGUGGCAAUGUUGGUGAUUUCUACAGAAAUGUAUUAGAAAUCAUCCCUUAAGUAUUUGAACUAUGCUGUGUAGAGGAGUACACAGCAUUCUGUUACGCAGUAUCCUUAAUUUCUGCCAGAAAAUAGACUGCCUUCAGUAAUUAUAAAUUGGGUACAUGCUGGCUUCUACAUGGAUAGUUUCACUAAUAGCUUAUUAUAACUGUUUAUUCACCUCUUUUAUUUAUACCCGUUCAAACAAUGUCAUUGAUGAAUAGCAGCCAAACACAUUAAUAACUUUAAACUUAUUCAACAACUUGUGUACUGCUUUCUUCCCAGUUUGGUGGUGACUUGCCUGGGGAUUCAGACUGCAUUACUUUGCCAUCUUCAAAAAUCAUAUGAUGCUGUUGCUCAUACAGAAACUGCUAGGCAAAAAUAACCAGCAGGGAUGCUUUUAAACAUCAGUGUUAGAAGAGCUUCUGCUUUAGUGAGAUGAAAAUAAUCUGUCAAGAGACGUGAGGAAAGUCGAGAGGAAGGACACGGGCUCUUCUGGAAAAUGGCCUCCUUGAAAUUGUCGGAAAGUUCUGAGAUACACCAAAGAAAGAAAAAUAUGUAUAUGCUCACUAACAAAUGAUUUCAGCCGAACACUGCAGGUGUUGCAGUGGUAAAAAGUGGAAAGAUAACUACAGGAAAAUCAAGACAAGAAGAAGCAUGAUGUCAGCCUAUCUAUUCAUAUCCCAGUCCCACACCUUCUCCAGAGGCAAACUGUUUGCCACCAGAUGAGACUUCAUACCCCACAUAGACACACGGCUCUGGGCGAGGUUUCUACUUCCCCUGCCCUGCUUUAGCUAUCUUGAAACAUCCCAGGUUGCCAAAACCCUCGGAGCAUUCACAGCACCAGCCACUUGCAGCCAGGAGGGCGGUCCUGGAGCUGGGCUUGGCUGUGUGCCCUCCCCGUGCAGCUCGCAGCCAGCGGGAGGUAGAGGUACCCAGUCCAGCUCCUACCACCCGAAUGUGCCACCAGUUCACAGUCAGAAGAGCCACCGGGGCGAGGGAUUUCUGGCAGCUGCUUCCUCGUGCCCCACAGACUCAUCUCCGAAUGCUGCUGGAAAGAGCGUGUGCUCAUGCACAGCACGGGCUCCCACUUCAGAGCCAGGCAGAGCUGGGCGGCAUCCCACCAAGCACUUCUGGCGCGCGUGCGUUUUUAUUUCAGUCAGAUCAAAUGAAGAACCUUUACUUCUCGAUUAAAGACAUAGUCUCCCGUGUAUUUGCUGGGCAUGAAGCAGAAGCGGGCACAGACUUGUGAGAAACUUUCACCAAUGGGUGGCACGUACAAACACUCUCCUUACAUCGUCCUCACAGCAGCUCCGUCCAACCAAGCAGGAGCCGGCGCGGCCUCCUCCCGCAGCAGCGGAGCGUGGCCGGCACCGCCAAGCGCUGACUUUCCGCACCGUAACUCGGCACUACCGCCGUCCCCUCGGACGACAACGAUGCCGUGAGAGGCGCUUCCCCGCGGGGCGCUGCUCCGAACAGACCUCUCUUUCCAGCGGUUCCGGAGCGCGCAUCCCUUUUGCCCCGCGCCCGCCGGCUGAUGUAGCAACGCGCACUCCGGGCAGUGACGGGGGAAGGAGCGCCUCUUCCGGAGCAGCCGGCAGCCUCUCCCGCUCCGGGAGCGCGGCGGGGGAGACGCGGCGGGGGUGACG
ensembl:lncRNA